rnacentral:rRNA from 1 species
GACGAACGCUGGCGGCGUGCUUAACACAUGCAAGUCGAGCGGAAAGGCCCUUCGGGGUACUCGAGCGGCGAACGGGUGAGUAACACGUGAGUAACCUGCCCUUGGCUCUGGGAUAGCUCCGGGAAACCGGAAUUAAUACCGGAUAUGACCACUUUAGACAUCUUCGGUGGUGGAAAGAUUUAUCGGCCAGGGAUGGGCUCGCGGCCUAUCAGCUAGUUGGUGGGGUAACGGCCUACCAAGGCGACGACGGGUAGCCGGCCUGAGAGGGCGACCGGCCACACUGGGACUGAGACACGGCCCAGACUCCUACGGGAGGCAGCAGUGGGGAAUAUUGCGCAAUGGGCGAAAGCCUGACGCAGCGACGCCGCGUGGGGGAUGAAGGCCUUCGGGUUGUAAACCCCUUUCGGCAGGGACGAAGCGAAAGUGACGGUACCUGCAGAAGAAGCGCCGGCUAACUACGUGCCAGCAGCCGCGGUAAAAC